CGGGCGGGGCCCGCUGCGUGCUCACGGCGGCGGGGGCGGACGUCGGGGCCGGCCCGCCCGUUCCCGCCACGGCGCCCCGUGACCCGUUCGCAGCGGGUGGGGGCGUCGUCAGAGGAGGAGGCGUCGCCGCGGUUACCGAGGCCGACUGGCGGCUGCCGGAGGCCCCCGUGUGUCGGGGCCCCGGGGCCGCGGGGGACGCCAGCGGGGCCCGCAGGGUGGUGCCCCCGGUGGAAGGAGGCGGUGGUGCGGCCGUGGUGGUGACAGCGAGAGGCGGAGUCAGGUGCAUCCUGGAGGUGGAGGAGGUGGUGGUGGAGGUGGUGGAGCUCUGCUUGGAGCUGUUCCCAGGGCGCCCGGGGGCGGUGGUGUUCCACUGGUGGGUGGAGAAGGGGCUGGUGAUGUUGUCGGGCAGCGUGAUGUCGUGGUCGCCGAGGGUGGACAGCAGAGACUCCGGGAUGGUGGGCAGGUCCCAGGCGGCUUUAGACAGCAGUCCCAGCGGCAGGCCCCCGGCCGACAGCGGCCCCGCGAGGGGGUCCACCAGCAUGAAGGCGGCCCUCCCCCCCGGACCCCUCUCCCCCCGGGGCGGGGCAUGGCCCCGGGGGGAGAGGGCGGCUGGUUCCCUGGGCCGGACCGGCGCGACAGCCACCGCGCUGACACCCGGCUUCCACUCCUCUGUGCCGG
ensembl:lncRNA